CCGCGGUUCACCCACUCCAUAUUCGACAACUUGGGACGCAAUCCACGGAUGGAGUCGCCCGCAGUCGACGUCCGCGGUCCACCCUCGUCCAAUCCCGCGGACAGCCUUCACCCGCGGCCAACGUCCGCGGCCUAUCCAGGCAAAUCUCAAGCUCUCUGGUCCGAAUCCGCGGACUGGUGUUGUCUGCGGUUUCCGUCCGCAGGAUGGUCCGUCUCGGUUGAUCUCUUGGGAGCAAUUCCGCGGCCUGGUCCAGUCCGACCUGGUCGUCCGCGGCCUGGUCCAUCUUCUUGCCUUUGCCACUUUUCUUCAU
rnacentral:lncRNA from 1 species